rnacentral:rRNA from 1 species
GAUGAACGCUGGCGGCGUGCCUAAUACAUGCAAGUCGAACGCGCAGCGAGAGGUGCUUGCACCUUUCAAGCGAGUGGCGAACGGGUGAGUAACACGUGGAUAACCUGCCUCAAGGCUGGGGAUAACAUUUGGAAACAGAUGCUAAUACCGAAUAAAACUUAGUAUCGCAUGAUAUAAAGUUAAAAGGCGCUACGGCGUCACCUAGAGAUGGAUCCGCGGUGCAUAAGUUAGUUGGGGGGGUAAAGGCUUAACAAGAAAAUGAUGCAUAGCCGAGUUGAGAGACUGAUCGGCCACAUUGGGACUGAGACAAGGCACAAACUCCUACGGGAGGCUGCAGUAGGGAAUCUUCCACAAUGGGCGCAAGCCUGAUGGAGCAAGGCCGCGUGUGUGAUGAAGGCUUUCGGGUCGUAAAGCACUGUUGUAUGGGAAGAAAUGCUAAAAUAGGGAAUGAUUUUAGUUUGACGGUACCAUACCAGAAAGGGACGGCUAAAUACGUGCCAGCAGCCGCCGUAA